rnacentral:lncRNA from 1 species
CAGCUUUGUCUAAAUGAGAAUUAUAUAUGCCCCUUCUUCAUAUAUUGCUGGUCUCUUAAUUAUGAUUGCCGUAGAGACAGUGCUCCUCAGUUUUCAUGUACAAAAAAAUAAUGAUAUCCCCGUGCACAAACCAUAUGAAAGGCUAGCCUUUUCACCAUCACUUCAUAUGCCACAAAGAACACACUUUUUAUUGCACUACAUGAAGAAUAUAGACACUACUUGAGGAGGACUUUCAAAUCACUGAAAUGCCCUUGUAUUCUCUGGAUGGCUGGCGUAAUCUUGGGAUCUGCUGUGAUUGGCUUUCGUCAUGCUCUCAAAUGGAAAAAUAAAUUUGCAUAAAUGUUCUUGUAUGUGCAAGGAAUAUCCAGCUUCACUCUGCAUGGGAAAAACACUAUAAGAUCAUCUUUACCAGAAUUAUCAACGUUAGUAACCAGGAAAACAACUUUAAAAAUGGGAAAAUUCAAAUGCUUGCUUCCAGUCUGAGGUUAGCAGCCCCCACCUAAGAUGAGGCUGAUAAGAUACAAUCUAUACAACGUAUCUUACACAAGAUUGUGAAAAAAGUUAGUUCAUAUCAUCCAUACCAAACAGGAAAAGCAUGCACCAAGUGCAUUAACGUUUAAACUCCCCACUGAAUAUAGAGAUGUCACAAAUUUCAGUAACAAAAUCUAUAUUCACAGAGUAUUUGAGAACAUAAAAUCAUCACAUUAAAGACUUGUAAAUCUGGAAAAACAUAGGCAACAUACAUGCAACAACCUUUAGAAAUUCCCACCAAAAUAGUGUCAGUUUGGUGGAAGCCGAUGAAAACUAGACAAAAACUACAUUUGCAGGCUUUGUGAUGAUCCAAUUAUACAGAGUCUGAGGCCAUGUACACAUCAACCAGCCAAAUUCAUUCACAUAUAACUGACAAUUCAAGUUUUUUAUGUAAAGCAAAGACAACCAGAAUCUCCAGAUGAAUAUAUAGGAGAAUGCGAAUUCAUGAAAACCAUAACUAAAUUAAAUCAGAUCAACUAAUUCGUGGAAACCUUAUUACAUGUUUGAAGAUUCCCUCCAAUUGUUAAUUGCAGCCAACACUUUCGGUAGUAUAGAAAUUCAUUGAGUCUUUGCCUAUGUGAAAUAGGCAAAUCAUAACAACAGUAUCUAUAAAUAAUCAGACCGAUGUAGAAUAUUAUCACAAAAUUAGGUAUUAUUAUGAAAUCGCAUUAUUAACUUUAUUCUUCUAGUUAGAAGCUUGGCCAUCACAAAACGUGGCGACCAAGUUUGUUUAGGCCUAUAUAAAGGCUUUUAUUUCUCUUGUUGAAAAUAUAUACAACAAAACUAAUUCUCCUACAACUAUCCUAAACAACAGCAAAUGAACAUGGGUUGAGAAUAUUAUAUAUAUAUAUAUAUAUACACACACACACACACACACACACAAACACAACAAAAUCAGAAUAGAAGUGCUCCUCUUUAUUCAACAGUCACUAGUCCAUUUUAAAAAAAUAACAGGAAUUUGCUAUACGUAUGUUUCUGAGAAAGUAGAAGGAUUAGAGCUUAGAAGCAAAAUCUCUUAUUGAUAGUUGCAGUUUUGUUAAUAAAAAUCGCUUGUACUGAGCAAGGAGCUAUAUGAAUAACACUUUAAAGUUGAUACAAACAGGACAUAUCCAAUUACUAAAUGUUACUCGAGGAAAGUUGAGGCUCAAAUUCAAUACCUCAGUACAUGUAUGAUUUUUAAUGCCUAACAUGCUUUAUGCCAUAUACAGAAUUAAACUAAUCCUUUCAUUGCAGAAUAUACGUGCGAAGGUCCGAUCUCAGGUUGGUCCAAAAGAGGUGAACCUACAAAACGAAGAAGACCACAAAUAUCCUCGGCGGCGGAUACGUCCCCUCUGAGAGUAAGUGCCGGAAAGAGGAGUAGGAAAGAUAUGCAAAGGAGGUAUUGAGGUUUUAGAGAGAGAAUUUGGGAAAUUAGAAGUUACCUUCUCUGGCAAUGACGUGGAGUCUCUUCAUUGGCUUGGGUUGUAACCUCACAUGUAUGGAGGGUACUUGCUUGGGGAAGAGGUAGGUAACUACCUUCUGACAAGUUGAUAGUGACGUGAAGCAUUCUGCUUUUAGGGGACCACAACUAAGGGUCGGUAUUAUUAAAGGGUUUCGCACUUAUGCUGAAGGGGUUUAGCCUUUGUGCGUCGCCGCUUCCAUCGAAGGUAUCAUGUCAAUAGAAUAGGG